rnacentral:tRNA from 1 species
GGGGAUGUAGCUCAGCUGGGAGAGCGCCACGUUCGCAUCGUGGAAGUCGAGGGUUCGAGUCCCUUCAUCUCCACCA